UACGUAGGGGGCAAGCGUUGUCCGGAAUCAUUGGGCGUAAAGAGCGCGUAGGCGGCGCGGUAAGUCGGGUGUGAAAUCUCGGAGCUUAACUCCGAAACUGCAUUCGAUACUGCCGUGCUUGAGGACUGGAGAGGAGACUGGAAUUUACGGUGUAGCGGUGAAAUGCGUAGAUAUCGUGAGGAAGACCAGUGGCGAAGGCGGAUCUCUGGACAGUUCCUGACGCUGAGGCGCGAAGGCCAGGGGAGCAAACGGG
rnacentral:rRNA from 1 species